UACGUAGGGUGCAAGCGUUAAUCGGAAUUACUGGGCGUAAAGCGUGCGCAGGCGGCUUUGCAAGACAGAUGUGAAAUCCCCGGGCUCAACCUGGGAACUGCAUUUGUGACUGCAUGGCUAGAGUACGGUAGAGGGGGAUGGAAUUCCACGUGUAGCAGUGAAAUGCGUAGAGAUGUGGAGGAAUACCGAUGGCGAAGGCAGCCCCCUGGGCCAAUACUGACGCUCAUGCACGAAAGCGUGGGGAGCAAACAGG
rnacentral:rRNA from 1 species